CCUACGGGAGGCAGCAGUGGGGAAUAUUGGACAAUGGGCGAAAGCCUGAUCCAGCCAUGCCGCGUGUGUAAAGAAGGCCUUCGGGUUGUAAAGCACUUUCAGUGGGGAAGAAAGCCUUGGGGCUAAUACCCUCGAGGAAGGACAUCACCCACAGAAGAAGCACCGGCUAACUCCGUGCCAGCAGCCGCGGUAAUACGGAGGGUGCGAGCGUUAAUCGGAAUUACUGGGCGUAAAGCGCGCGUAGGCGGUCUGAUAAGCCGGUUGUGAAAGCCCCGGGCUCAACCUGGGAACGGCAUCCGGAACUGUCAGGCUAGAGUGCAGGAGAGGAAGGUAGAAUUCCCGGUGUAGCGGUGAAAUGCGUAGAGAUCGGGAGGAAUACCAGUGGCGAAGGCGGCCUUCUGGACUGACACUGACGCUGAGGUGCGAAAGCGUGGGUAGCAAACAGGAUUAGAUACCCUGGUAGUC
rnacentral:rRNA from 1 species